UCUUCCGCAGUGGACGGAAGUCUGACGGAGCGACGCCGCUUGGAGGAGGAAGCCCUUCGGGGUGUAAACUCCCCCCACCGGGGACGAAAGCCCCGUGUAGGGGGAUGACGGUACCCAGGUAAUAGCGCCGGCCAACUCCGUGCCAGCAGCCGCGGUAAUACGGAGGGCGCGAGCGUUACCCGGAUUUACUGGGCGUAAAGGGCGUGUAGGCGGCCCGGGGCGUCCCAUGUGAAAGGCCACGGCUCAACCGUGGAGGAGCGUGGGAUACGCUCAGGCUAGAGGGUGGGAGAGGGUGGUGGAAUUCCCGGAGUAGCGGUGAAAUGCGCAGAUACCGGGAGGAACGCCGAUGGCGAAGGCAGCCACCUGUCCACUUCUGACGCUGAGGCGCGAAG
rnacentral:rRNA from 1 species